CCCGCUGAACUUAAGCAUAUCAAUAAGCGGAGGAAAAGAAACUAACAAGGAUUCCCCUAGUAACUGCGAGUGAAGAGGGAUGAGCUCAAAUUUGUAAUCUGGCAGUAUCUCACUGUCCGAGUUGUAAAUUCAAGAAGUGUUAUCCGUGUUGGACCAUGCACAAGUCUCUUGGAAAAGAGCAUCAUAGAGGGUGACAAUCCCGUCUCUGGCAUGGACGCCCACCACAUUUGUGAUGCACUUUCAAUGAGUCGAGUUGUUUGGGAAUGCAGCUCUAAAUGGGUGGUAAAUUCCAUCUAAAGCUAAAUAUUGGCGAGAGACCGAUAGCGAACAAGUACCGUGAGGGAAAGAUGAAAAGAACUUUGAAAAGAGAGUUAAGCAGUACGUGAAAUUGUUGAAAGGGAAACGAUUGAAGUCAGUCUUGUGCUUCAGAAAUCAGCAGGACUCUGUCUUGUGCACUUUCUGUUCCCCAGGCCAGCAUCAAUUUCAACGGCUAGAGAAAAGCUUUGGAAAUGUGGCAUCUUCUAUGGUGUGUUAUAGUCCUUGGCUGUAUGUAGUCGUCGGGAUUGAGGCUUUCAGCUCUCGUAGCUGACAAGGAUGCUGGCGUAAUGGCUUUAAUCGACCCGUCUUGAAACACGG
rnacentral:rRNA from 1 species